GAAUAUGUUCAGAUCGGUACUUCUGCUCUUCCAGACUCAGAAGCCAUGGAAACACUCACAGUGCUGUAUCUGCUCAGCUUUUCCAUUUGAUUGAGUUGUCUUAGGAUGCAGCAUCCAAAAGAGCCAAGCCCUCACUUAGCAGCGCUGCUUGUGAGUGUGCUUUUAAAGACCAAAGCAGUAACAAGGAACUACAGCAGAGACUGUCAGCCUGGUGCAGGUGUUCAUCCAGAGGCAGUGAAAGACAGCGUGGUCAGUUACUCCAGAAGCAGACCUGAAAACAGCAAGAACUGACCCAGAGCCACCAGUCCCACUGGCAAGGAAUGCCCCUGCAGAAAGGCUCUGUCUUCCAAGAGUGCCAAUGGAUCAGCUAUGAGGAAUAAACUCUUAGUACAUCUUU